UUAAAUUGAUUUCAUAAAUCAUAGAGAGAGAGAGAGAGAGAGAGAGAGAGUUUGGAAACAUUCCAAAACCAGAACUCGAUAUUAUUUCACCAA
rnacentral:sRNA from 1 species